UUGAUGGAUAGUAUGAAUGGUAUAACGAAUAUAACGCUGUCUCAAAUAAAAAUCUUAUGAAAUUAGAAUAAUAGUAAAGAUACUAUUUUAAACUGUAAGACGAGAAGACCCUAUAGAGCUUAACUAUAACUCUUUAAAAAAUCGAUAAACUAGUUUAUUAGUAAAAAGAGAUAGGUAGUUUAGUUGGGGCGACUACUUUCUAAAAUUAACGAAAGUAAACAAAAUUAAUUAAAAAAUUUACUGUUUAAUCUAUAAAUUUAACAGUUAUUACAAUAGGUAAUAAUGACCCGUUAAUAAUUAAUAAUAAUAUUAACGAUCAAUAAAUAAAAGCUACCUUAGGGAUAACAGGAUAAUUUUGUU
rnacentral:rRNA from 5 species